GCCUGUUUGGCUCAGUGGAUAGAGCGUUGGCCUGUGGACUGAAAGGUCCCAGGUUCGAUUCCUGUCAAGGGCA
rfam:Myotis lucifugus cont2.17984, whole genome shotgun sequence.